GCAUAGGUUUGGAUUUAUGGCAGGCCGGUCCCCCUGGGUCUCUCAUAGUGUCCCAUGCCAGAGCAAACUGUGGCCCCGUCUUCUCUACUUAAAACCAUUGUCCCACAUGC
rnacentral:snoRNA from 1 species